rnacentral:tRNA from 1 species
GCCCUCGUAGCCCAAUCGGCAGAGGCGGGCGACUUAAAAUCGCCUCAGUGCGAGUUCGAGUCUCGUCGGGGGCAC